rnacentral:rRNA from 1 species
ACCUGUGGCUGGGGGUGAAAGGCCAAUCAAACCGGGAGAUAGCUGGUUCUCCCCGAAAGCUAGUUAGGUAGCGCCUCGUGAAUUCAGCUCCGGGGGUAGAGCACUGUUUCGGCUAGGGGGUCAUCCCGACUUACCAAACCGAUGCAAACUCCGAAUACCGAUGAGUGAUAUCCGGGAGACAGACGGCGGGUGCUAACGUCCGUCGUGAAGAGGGAAACAACCCAGACCGCCAGCUAAGGUCCCAAAGUCAUGGUUAAGUGGGAAACGAUGUGGGAAGGCCCAGACAGCCAGGAUGUUGGCUUAGAAGCAGCCAUCAUUUAAAGAAAGCGUAAUAGCUCACUAGUCGAGUCGGCCUGCGCGGAAGAUGUAACGGGGCUCAAACUAGGAGCCGAAGCUGCGGAUUUAAUUGUUUCAAUUAAGUGGUAGGGGAGCAUUGUGUAAGCCUGUGAAGGUGUGUUGUAAAGCAUGCUGGAGG